AUUGAACGCUGGCGGCAGGCCUAACACAUGCAAGUCGGACGGUAGCACAGAGGAGCUUGCUCUUCGGGUGACGAGUGGCGGACGGGUGAGUAAUGUCUGGGAAACUGCCCGAUGGAGGGGGGUAACUACUGGAAACGGUAGCUAAUACCGCAUAACGUCGCAAGACCAAAGUGGGGGACCUUCGGGCCUCACACCAUCGGAUGUGCCCAGAUGGGAUUAGCUGGUAGGCGGGGUAACGGCCCACCUAGGCGACGAUCCCUAGCUGGUCUGAGAGGAUGAGCAGGCACACUGGAACUGAGACACGGUCCAGACUCCUACGGGAGGCAGCAGUGGGGAAUAUUGCACAAUGGGCUCAAGCCUGAUGCAGCCAUGCCGCGUGUAUGAAGAAGGCCUUCGGGUUGUAAAGUACUUUCAGCGGGGAGGAAGGUGCUGAGGUUAAUAAGCUCAGCAAUUGACGUUACCCGCAGAAGAAGCACCGGCUAACUCCGUGCCAGCCGCCGCCGUAA
rnacentral:rRNA from 1 species